GACGGAGGAUGCAAGUGUUAUCCGGAAUCACUGGGCGUAAAGGGUCUGUAGGUGGUUUUUUAAGUCUGCUGUUAAAGCUUGAAGCUCAACUUCAAAAAUGCAUCGGAAACUAGAAGACUUGAGUAUGGUAGGGGUAGAGGGAAUUUCCAGUGAAGUGGUGAAAUGCGUAGAUAUUGGAAAGACCACCAAAGGCGAAGGCACUCUACUGGGCCACAACUGACACUGAGAGACGAAAGCUAGGGGAGCGAAUGGG
rnacentral:rRNA from 2 species